AACGCACAUUGCGCCCGCCAGUACUCUGGCGGGCAUGCCUGUUCGAGCGUCAUUUCAACCCUCAAGCCCUGCUUGGUGUUGGGGCCCUACGGCUGCCGUAGGCCCUGAAAGGAAGUGGCGGGCUCGCUGCAACUCCGAGCGUAGUAGAAUGCUAUCUCGCUAUGGAGGCUGCGGCGGCGCUCCGGCCGUUAAAGACCCAUCUUUAACCCAAGGUUGACCUCGGAUCAGGUAGGAAUACCCGCUGAACUUAA
rnacentral:misc_RNA from 1 species